CUGGCAUUAAACAUCUUCCCUCAACAUGGGGCUCUGUACAAGUCGUACGUUACUUCAAAGGCAAACAGAGCCACGGGGGAAAACAGAUCUGUCGCCGGCAAGGGCUCCCGGGACUCAAGCUGUCUUGUCUUUGUGACGUGCCAGCGGCUGGCAAGAGAUAUCACCUGCUUCAAUAAGGCAGAUAGGAACAUACUGAACCAAGAAGAGGUCCAGAAGGUCCAGGGGCUGAGGCUGGGGCAUUGAGCUUCCGAGGCCAGCCUGGAUUACAUAGCAAGACCCCAAACAAGCAGGGUCUCAUUCAUUAGGACGUGGUCCCGGGCUGGUUUGCAACUCCCAUGCAGUAAUCCUCUUACCGAAGCCUCUCAAAUGAUGGUAUCACAAAUAGGUGCCACCACUCCAGAAAACCACGAAGAAGCUAUGAAGCAAAAACUCCAGUGUUUUUGAAAACUUUUGUUACCAGAUUUAAUAAAUCAAAUUGAG
rnacentral:lncRNA from 1 species